CCUCCUUAAGGUCCUCACUGGUCGCCGCCACCGAUUCGGUGCCCUUCCUCUCCGCAGCUUGCUGGUGGCCGUGCCCCCUCCUGUGCGCUGGACUAGGUCUGCCAGCCACUAGCCGCGGUAGAUCUGCCGCUGCCCCUCCCAUCCCGUACGCUGGCUUAAACACUCCUGAUUUAGCCACCGCCCCUUCCGUUGCGAUGGAUCUGCCCUACCCGCCGGGCAAGUGGCGGUGGAGGUCAACGAUGGUGGUGGGAUCUUGAUUUCGGCAUGAAGUAAUGGGAUGGGGAUUUGGAUUGGGGCACUAAGAAACUGGUUUGGCUGAUGGGGGAUUUGGAUUGGGGCACUAAGAAACUGGUUUGGCUUGAUGGGAUCUUGGUAUUGGGGAACUCAAUUUUGAUGGUAUGAUGUUCAAUCCGCCAUGGAUUAGGGAUCGUGUGUGUAUGGUGUAGGGGGAGGGCGUUGCUUUUGAAUACCGCAUCAUCAUGUGAUUUUAUUUGCGAUGGUGUAGGGGGAGGGCGUUGCUUUUGAACAGUUCAUCUUCAUGUGAUUUUAUUUGGGACUUGUUUAGUACUUCAGAUUAUAUUUCACAUAUUUAGAUAUUUGAAUCUGGAACGAAAUGGCUAACUGUCCUGUUAGAUACUUGGAUAGAGCACAAAUUUAGAGAUUUAUAAAUUGUUUAUGAUCUUGCUGUGAUGACCUGACAUGUGAGUGUGACUGAACUCAACUGAGAACUUGACACCUUCACAUCUCGUGGCCACAACUCCCUCCUGCAACUUUCCUCUGCAUUUUUCUAGCUUUUAGGAUCAAGUGUCUGUUUUGUUCAAUGCUAAGUGGGUUUCCUGUAUAUAUUGCAGUGCUCUACAAUUCUAAAAUUGCAGCUAUACACUAGUACCUAAAAUUGCAGUAUAUGAUCCCAAUUAAGGAUCAGCAUAUACAGUAGUACCUAAAAUUGAAGUGCACCCUCAAUAAGUUUGCUAACAUCUUAUUUCACUGUAUAUGAUGGCAGUGAUCUAUUUUGCUGUUUACACACUUUCUUCUUCAAUUUAUCAUGCAAAUUCAGUUCUUCCCUCAUGAAGCCUCAAAAUGGGUGCAGAAUUAAAUAUCUUCCAAUUAUUGACAGUCUCUCCUCUCCAGGUUAUGAAUAUUAAUUUCCAUUCAUGUCACUUAUGUAGGUAUUGUUGAUGGAAAUCGACAAGGCUUUUCAGUUGCAAAUGCAGUUCUUCUUAGCCUAGUAUAUCUCUAUUUUGAAACAUGGAGACUGCUAUACUUCGCUGCGGAUGAAAGCAUGUAGCCUGCAUACUUUCUAAGCUACGCCCUGAUCUAGUGUUGUCAUGGCUGAUCUAGUCUGGUGUUGUUGCUAUCCCAGGACACCUGCCCAAGCGUGGAUACAAAGAAGCUUUUUUAAUGGAAAAAUGACUAGGAUGCUCUUUUUUAAAAGGAUCAGCCUGGGAGCAGUUGGCCUACAUUGAGCUGACAGGAAAGGAGGUAGAUAGGAGGUAUAUGCGAGGCCAUUUAUUCUAUAAAGCAACUGUUACUCAUGUAAUCACUUACAAUUUAACAAUGUCAUGUAUCAUGAUCAUGAGAACUUAUACAGUAAAGUGUGAAGUAUUUUGUGUACUGCUAUGAAAUGUACCAUAUUGUGAAACAUGGGAUUCAGAAAUGUACACUGUGGAUCUAGAUA